AUGAAAUUAAAUUUACACAUCCUACAUUUUGUAUAUUUCAAAAAUGUAUCUUAAGUACCAAAAUAAUAUUUCAGUGUUAGACUGCUGCGAGGCAUGGGCUUCGGCUUUGCAUUCACCUCGUUCGAUGGAAGCAUUGUGGUUUUUCCAAACUCGUGAUCAGUAUUAGCACCCCAAUUCCAUUUGCAGGGCCCAGAACAAUUGCAGCCUGGCGGAUCCAAUCUGCCCUUUGUUUAUGCGAAUUUAGCACUGGAAUUCAGCUCUCGAUCGUUGCUAACGAUUGUCAAUAACACCUUCUAAUUCGAUUAGCAAAGCUUGACAAAAUGCCAAUAUUUAGCUAGCCAAUUAGCAGAUGUCGGUUCAGUUGAGACAAAUAAGAACUACCAGAACUUCCAAGUUAACCAAAUGAAUGCAGCUUAUAGGGAGAUGGGCUGAGACGCGUGGCUAGGACUUUAAAAACUUUCCACUCCAGACUCGAUGCGGCAGUCGAAAGCAGCAGAGCUGAAGAUGAAGUGAGCUGCUUUCCUCGAUUGGGAUUACCACCAAUGGCAUCUGCAGACAAUUGAACGGGAUGGUAGAGCUAAAAAAGUGUGACGGUGUGAAUAGGCGUUUAGAUCUUUUUGUGUCUGCCAUUUUCAGACGAUCCCUAUGCCGACGUUUUCUGGUUUCUUUCUUUUCGCUAAUUACACAAUUGUCUCGCCAGAGCUUUUUCACAUUUUUGUGUCAUGUGCGGGAAGAUUGGGGCUUAUACAACACGCAGACUUCGAUGGGGAGCAUGCGUAACCGAGGGUGUUUCGGUGUGUUUUCCUUUUCAAAAGUAUGACAAGAAACAGCAGACGACGAAUGCGGGACGGCCAGGCAGACCAUCUACUAUCCGCAAUCCGCUGACUGAGCAGACUAAGAGGCCCAUAAAAGUUAAGUGCAAUAAAUUAUGUUGAGUAAAUGUAAU